UACGGAGGAUGCGAGCGUUAUCCGGAUUUAUUGGGUUUAAAGGGUGCGUAGGCGGAUCGUUAAGUCAGUGGUCAAAUUGAGGGGCUCAACCCCUUCCCGCCAUUGAAACUGGCGAUCUUGAGUGGAAGAGAAGUAUGCGGAAUGUGUGGUGUAGCGGUGAAAUGCAUAGAUAUCACGCAGAACCCCGAUUGCGAAGGCAGCAUGCCGGCUUCCGACUGACGCUGAAGCACGAAAGCGUGGGGAUCGAACAGG
rnacentral:rRNA from 1 species